rnacentral:tRNA from 1 species
GGGGUGAUCGUCUAGCUUGGUCUAGGACAUGUGCUUUGGGAGCACAUAACCCGUGUUCAAAUCACGGUCACCCCA